UACAGAGGGGGCAAGCGUUGUUCGGAAUUACUGGGCGUAAAGGGCGCGUAGGCGGCCUGUUAAGUCGAAACGUGAAAUCCCCAGGCUCAACCUGGGAACUGCGUCCGAUACUGGCAGGCUUGAAUCCGGGAGAGGGAUGCGGAAUUCCAGGUGUAGCGGUGAAAUGCGUAGAUAUCUGGAGGAACACCGGUGGCGAAGGCGGCAUCCUGGACCGGUAUUGACGCUGAGGCGCGAAAGCCAGGGAGCGAAACGGG
rnacentral:rRNA from 1 species